rnacentral:rRNA from 1 species
AUGAACGCUGGCGGCGUGCCUAAUACAUGCAAGUCGAGCGAACAGACGAGGAGCUUGCUCCUCUGACGUUAGCGGCGGACGGGUGAGUAACACGUGGAUAACCUACCUAUAAGACUGAGAUAACUUCGGGAAACCGGAGCUAAUACCGGAUAAUAUAUUGAACCGCAUGGUUCAAUAGUGAAAGACGGUUUUGCUGUCACUUAUAGAUGGAUCCGCGCCGCAUUAGCUAGUUGGUAAGGUAACGGCUUACCAAGGCAACGAUGCGUAGCCGACCUGAGAGGGUGAUCGGCCACACUGGAACUGAGACACGGUCCAGACUCCUACGGGAGGCAGCAGUAGGGAAUCUUCCGCAAAGGGCGAAAGCCUGACGGAGCAACGCCGCGUGAGUGAUGAAGGUCUUCGGAUCGUAAAACUCUGUUAUUAGGGAAGAACAAAUGUGUAAGUAACUAUGCACGUCUUGACGGUACCUAAUCAGAAAGCCACGGCUAACUACGUG